CCCGUUGCAAUCAAUUCAAACACGACAAACAUCGCAAACCGACAUCCAGCAAGCAAUAUCUAGAUCCAUCUACACAAGUAUCAAUCUCUCAGACUUCUUCAGUGGAGGCACUGUCUCCUUUUCCCUUUUCCCUUUUCCUUUCUUUUGAAAAAUCUUUGCUUUUGAACUUCUGGACGCACAUUGCGUCGGGAGCGUGAGGAGUUUUUGUUGAGAUUUGGAAGCUCAAUUUGAAUCAACCGGCCGCGUGGAGGAGGGGGAUAGACAGAGAGGUAGGAACGGCGCGUUGUAUAUAUUUAAUAUACUUCUGGCGCUUCUCGCGACCUGAGAUGCGCCUUCAGGAUCCUUGAGAGCUCGUUCGUGAGGCUUGCGGAACGGAUUUUGCUUAAGAACGUCGCUAAUUGGGGGGUUGCGCAGCAGUGUUGGGUAUCAGCUGCCUCAUCGCAUUCUUAUCUAUAUCUACCGCACACCUCUUCGCUAGUUACUACUAGUACCUUGCCGCGCCCAACGCUUCUACUUCAAUCGCGCUUACAAGAACGACAAAAGCUUAGUUCAUGUCCAACAAUCCAGAAGAUAUGACCUUGACCUCCCCCAAGCCCUCAACCCCUGAUUUCCCAACACACAACUCCCCGCACCACCACCACCUCUCAAACAGUGCACAGCAGCAGCAGCAGCAUAACCUGGCUGUCGCCGCUAGCGCUGCCGCCGCCAGCUACGCUGCAGAUAACCACCUAGCAGGCCUUGUGGAAGCCGCCACGGCCGCAGCAGGACAGGAUGUCGACUGGGCGCAGAACGACGAGGG
rnacentral:sRNA from 1 species